GAUGAACGCUGGCGGCGUGCCUAAUACAUGCAAGUCGAGCGAACAGACGAGGAGCUUGCUCCUUUGACGUUAGCGGCGGACGGGUGAGUAACACGUGGAUAACCUACCUAUAAGACUGGGAUAACUUCGGGAAACCGGAGCUAAUACCGGAUAACAUGUUGAACCGCAUGGUUCAACAGUGAAAGACGGUCUUGCUGUCACUUAUAGAUGGAUCCGCGCCGCAUUAGCUAGUUGGUAAGGUAACGGCUUACCAAGGCAACGAUGCGUAGCCGACCUGAGAGGGUGAUCGGCCGCACUGGAACUGAGACACGGUCCAGACUCCUACGGGAGGCAGCAGUAGGGAAUCUUCCGCAAUGGGCGAAAGCCUGACGGAGCAACGCCGCGUGAGUGAAGAAGGUCUUCGGAUCGUAAAACUCUGUUAUUAGGGAAGAACAAAUGUGUAAGUAACUAUGCACGUCUUGACGGUACCUAAUCAGAAAGCCACGGCUAACUACGUG
rnacentral:rRNA from 1 species